rnacentral:rRNA from 1 species
UACGAAGGGGGCUAGCGUUGUUCGGAAUUACUGGGCGUAAAGCGGGCGCAGGCGGUUUUGUAAGUCUGACGUGAAAGCCCCGGGCUUAACCUGGGAAUUGCGUUGGAGACUGCAAGGCUUGAAUCUGGCAGAGGGGGGUAGAAUUCCACGUGUAGCAGUGAAAUGCGUAGAGAUGUGGAGGAACACCGAUGGCGAAGGCAAUCCCCUGGGUCAAGAUUGACGCUCAUGCACGAAAGCGUGGGGAGCAAACAGG